AUCCGUGGCUCAGAGUGAACGCUGGCGGCGUGCUUAACACAUGCAAGUCGAACGAGAAACGGUCUAGCUUGCUAGAUGCAGUCUAAGUGGCGCACGGGUGAGUAAUAUAUAGGUAAUAUGCCUCUUACUAAGGGAUAACAGAUGGAAACGUCUGCUAAUACCUUAUAUGCCUUUAGGACUAAAGUCCGCAAGGGAAAGAUUUAUCGGUAAGAGAUUAGCCUGUACAGUAUCAGUUAGUUGGUGAGGUAAUGGCUCACCAAGGCUAUGACGCCUAACUGGUUUGAGAGGAUGAUCAGUCACACUGGAACUGAGACACGGUCCAGACUCCUACGGGAGGCAGCAGUGGGGAAUAUUGCACAAUGGACGAAAGUCUGAUGCAGCAACGCCGCGUGGAGGAUGACACAUUUCGGUGCGUAAACUCCUUUUAUAUAGGAAGAUAAUGACGGUACUAUAUGAAUAAGCACCGGCUAACUCCGUG
rnacentral:rRNA from 1 species